UACAUCACCUUUUAUUUGUAAUAAUUAGCAAUAGAUAAAAGAAGAACAUUUUUUCAGAUAUUACAGAAUAUCUGCCAGGGUUUGAAGUGCCCUGAAAAGUGAUCACGAUGAUAUGCUGCAUCAUUAUCAUGCAUUCCUAUUAGUUAUAUUAAAAAAAACUGUCACCAAGCCCUUAGUGAAAAAUGGUUAUAAAAGUAUUCUUUGGCAGCACUUAUACUUUUUGAAACAUAAAUAUUGAAUUUUUUUAAAAGAAAUAUGACUCCUAUGGUAUUUCUUUAAGAUAAUUGGAUGGCAGUGUUGCAAACAAGUGUUAUUAUGAAGACAUUUUUUCUAAUUGGACUCCCAGGAGCCAGACUGCUUUUCACAUUCAAACGAGAAUUUAAAAAGAAAAAAAAUGUCAGAAAAGUAAAAGAGGUAUUUUGAAUAUAUUUACAGUCCACAUCCAUUUAUACCCAAUAUAUAAUGCCUGGUGUUCACUAGUACAGGUAGAGCCCUUUUCGGAAGCAAGUUGCAUAUUCCCAUAUUUUAAUAUCAGAUAUCAAAUACAAGCAUAUGGAACUGUUUUGAAUAAAGACAUAAAUUGUCCUUUGUGAUCAGCAUAUUUUUCUCUUACAUGUAUUUUAAGUCUUAAAAGGAUAGCUAAUGUAUUUUGAGAUAAUGCAUUUGAAGAUGGAACGUGUAUGAAAAUUUCUUCAGC